CGUGAAUGAUGACACCCAGCCCAUGAACAUGCUCAAUUGGAGAAUCUGGUUUAUGAGACACCCGGGGGGGAGGGGGGAAACAGGGUCACAGGUGACUGUAAAUUACCUAUGCCAGAGUUGUCUUCAUCAGGGCAGUGCCAGUACGUCAUCUCUAAUAAAUCUUUUGAAGUUUUUCGAAGUUUGGCUCGAGAAUCAUGAUUUAAUUAGGGUGAUUGCUGGAAUCCUGACAGAAGACUCUUGCUCAGCAAUAAAAUUUUGGGCUUAAUUGUUGU